CUCUCUCGGGUGACAACACUGCAGCAGGCCACAGUUACCCUUCUCCUGUCAACUCUGCUUUAAUGAAACUCAUACAUUAAGUUUGAUGAUGGUGCUGUUGUAUAAGAACAAUGAAGAGGAGGAAAAGAUGAAGAACUACUUUUCCUAUCAAAGCCUUGGAACAAGCCCACUCUACUUCCCGGACCUGAUUUUGGAGUUGUGAGUUGGUAAGUUAAGAAGGGAAGAGGUAGGGGCCACUAAGUUGAAAGGGAGGAUUAACAGUCAGCCUAAACCAAAGACACAAAGGAGACAACGGAGAUGAGAAACGAUGCGGGAUCCUGCCAGACAUUUGAUCUGACCCUAGUCUGCCAGGUCCUUCCCUCUGUCCUCGGGGCCAGACUGUUCCAGUUUGAAUUUCUUCAAGAGGCUAAGUUCUCCAGUUGGUAUGCUAUGAGUAGGAAUGCUUCCCUGUGAGGAUUGCCUGUAUCUCCCAUGGACAAGACAUUCAAGAUGGCCCUUAGAAAUACGAUCUUUGCACUAGAUGUGAAACCACUCAGAGUCUGUGUCUCAAACAAAAUGCACACACAGUCUUGCAUGGCGCUCUCCUUUAUCGAGCAACAUCAGGGAAUGAGCUGGCCCAGAGAGUUAAUCUUGCAAUCAAAUAUACUGCAGCCAGAAGGAACACAGAGACACCUUGGGAACAACACUGAACCUCACUCACUCCUCGGCAAACCUCGGCGGCUGCAUUACAUCAUUCUGAACACGGUCUCAUCACUGGCCCUGAAAAUCUGAUCUAAUGAAGCUUCAAGUACAGAGAAGAGGAGGAAGAAGGGGGAGGAAGAGGAGGAGAAGGAGGAGGAGCUAAGAAAAUAUAAUGUUAUUAAUUAACAGAGUGGCCCGCACAAAUAAUCUUUAAAAGUGUAUAUGUGGUGUACAUAUGCAUAAGCAUCCACCUGUGUCUGCAUUGGUAUAUGUCCAUGUGCAUGUAUGUGUUCAUGUGCACGUGAGGCUAGAGGUCAAUGCUAAGUGUAUUCCUCUGUUGCACUCCACCUUGCUUUGUGAGAUGGGGUAGCUCAAUAAACCUAGAGUCUUCAAUUUGGGC
rnacentral:lncRNA from 1 species